rnacentral:sRNA from 3 species
GCCCCUUCAAGAGCUAAGCCACAACAGUGAGUGCCGGAGAUAAGCGCCGGAUGGGGUUAAUAAC